UUUCCAGACAUACCCACGACCCACACCGAUCCUUGUGAAGAGUUCUUUGAUGAACCAUCAUAUUUUGAUGAUGCUAACCAAAACGAAGAGGACCCACCUUGUAUUCCAAUUAUUGUAUCCGACAUCUUCAUGCAAGCCAGUUCCGGUUUGCAUCAAGUCGCCAACAUCAUCGUUUAUUCUGUAAAUGGUCAUGUGACUAUGUCUGUAACACUUGGCUAGAUUAGAUAUGUCAAGCACUUUGACCGCUGUGAGAUUUGAAUAGAGAAGCUGCCAUACCUAUACAGCACAAAAGACUUGUCCUACGUUCUAAUGAACCUGAAUAUUCAACAGCAUAGCUGAACAGCUAAAGAGAACACCAUCAGAGUUAUCCGGCCCAGGGUGCCAAAUAUGAAGAACACCCUGACCUUUUUUGUUAAGGUUAAACAUUUUUUCGUAAAUAAACGAAAAGGGGAUGCAACUA